AGGGAAUCUUCCGCAAUGGACGAAAGUCUGACGGAGCAACGCCGCGUGAGUGAUGAAGGUUUUCGGAUCGUAAAGCUCUGUUGCCAGGGAAGAACGUCUUCUGGAGUAACUGCCAGGAGAGUGACGGUACCUGAGAAGAAAGCCCCGGCUAACUACGUGCCAGCAGCCGCGGUAAUACGGAGGGUGCAAGCGUUAAUCGGAAUUACUGGGCGUAAAGCGCGCGCAGGCGGCUGUUUAAGUCUGGUGUUUAAUCCUGGGGCUCAACCCCGGGUCGCACUGGAAACUGGACGGCUUGAGUGCAGAAGAGGAGAGUGGAAUUCCACGUGUAGCGGUGAAAUGCGUAGAGAUGUGGAGGAACACCAGUGGCGAAGGCGACUCUCUGGGCUGUAACUGACGCUGAGGCGCGAAAGCGUGGGGAGCAAAC
rnacentral:rRNA from 1 species